AUUUGCCUAUGAUGAUGUAAGUUAUCCCUGUCAGAUUAUACACUGUUGAUAUUCUGAAUCUGAGGCAAAU